GUUCACCGAUGCGGUGGGCUCGGCUGGCUUUGGAGCCAUUCUGGGUGCCAAAUGGUGCGCUGACUCUUGGACAGAGGCCUGGCAGGGGACGGGGCCCACUCGAAACUUGGAGUUUAUGGAGCUCUUCCCUAUCUUGGUGGCUUUGGAAGUGUGGGGCUCCAUGAUGUUGGAUAGACGGGUGGUCUUCCAUUGUGACAACUUAGGAGUGGUGCAGGCAAUCAACCAGCU